rnacentral:tRNA from 1 species
GGCCCUUAGCUCAGUCGGUAGAGCAACUGACUUUUAAUCAGUAGGUCGCUGGUUCGAACCCAGCAGGGCUCAC